UUUCCUACAAGUGUUUGUCAGAAGGAGGGGUUCGCGGUGCAGAGCGAGAGCCCAGGCGCUUAACCCCUUGCAGUUCAACCUCGGGUCUGCGCUGCCCUGGAGAGGGGCUCACCGGAUCUUCUGAUGUCACAGGCUUGGGACCAUCUUACCCACUAGCCUCCAGUCCUGGGCCAAUCCAAGGAGGCAGAUGUUUCACGGGUGAGGAGCCUGGGCUUCAGCCAGGCUGUCCAGAUCCAGAAAGCGCCCUCUCCAUCACUUCAUGACUGAGGCCUGCAGAGAUGAGAAGGUUAGAAACAACCUCAGUGUCCAACAAAAGGGGAUCCAUGAAAUGAAUUCUAUUUCCACUCAAAGGGAUACUCUGAGCCACCAUGGGCAUGCUACAGAGGAAUAAAAAUGGGUGAAAAAUCAUGAUGCAUUCAGCAAAUGAGCUGGAUAUAAAGUGAUACGCAUCAAGUCUGAGUCCACUAAAGGGAAAGAAAAUACAGUAAAACAUGGAAGAAGAGAGGGAGACAAGGAAAAAGGGAGAAAGAAAAUUUUUACAGAGAUUAUCGCUGGGUGAGUUGUAGGGAAGUUCACUUUCUCAUUACGCAUAUUUUCUAAAACUAACAGUCGCUUGAACAUAAGCAUCAGAUGAACAUCUACUAUGCUUGGAACACACCCCCCCCCCUGGAUCUUUCGAGACCUGGGGUGUGUUCCUCCUCAGUGUCCCCACCUACGGGGGCUGGGGAAAGUGAGGGCUGUGGGACCUCAGGGCUCUGGCAUCCCAUGCCUCCCACGCCUCCGCCGUCCAGGGUCUCGUGCACACUCUAUGCACACACGGCCACUACACAGCAAGCACAUGGUCAUGUGGACAUCACAGAAAGGAAAGGAGCAAUCAGCUCCAGUCUCACCCACUCAGCAUUUUGGAGCAUGAUGAGUUGUCUCAUUGGACCUUCCUAAGUAAUCAUGCAUGUGAUAGAGGGGAGAAGGCUCGGAGAGGUUAUAUGACUUGCCUGAAGUCACACAGCACACUAGGGGCAGAGCUGGUCUGUAUCCACAAAUAAUUACCCUUCAGAGUAAUUCCUUAUUUAAAGGGGCUGAGUGGAGCCCCUAGGACUCUGACUCCUCCCCCCAGUCCUUAGUCCUUGGCUGUGAUCCCAGGACUCCAAGGAGACUGACACUUGGGCUCUCAUUAUGGCUUUGAUCCCUGUCUCUCUCCCAAAAUAGGGAGAUGCUGGCACGGACCUGAGAUUGGUGUGGGAGCAGCCCUGGGGUCUCAUUUGGCAACCACGAUGGAGUCUGGCUGUACCUGGCAGGGGACAGCAGGGUCCAGAGGGGACAGCAGGAGGGGGGAGGAGGGUCCGGGUGUCUGGGGCAGGAUGGCCUGGGUCCUGAGCGGGUGGUUCAGACCUCAGCUGGUUUGCUUCCAGACCUCUGAUGGCUUCAUCGACACCCGAGGACGAGGCUUCCCUGGGGUGAGCAGGGACAGCAACAGGAGGAUGUGAUUCCACUCGGGGCACAGGGGGCCCGCACGGAGCAGGGCUGCCGUGAGCCUCUCCCACGCCCCCUGAGCUCAGUCUUCAACGCCUCGCGCAGGCUGCUGGGUAACUCUCCCGGGACACCAUCCUGGUCAGGCUUUUCCCCGGUGAAAGACCACUGAGGGCUCCGGUCACCUGGAGGCUCAAGGCCAGUCAUUCUGGCCUGGAGUCUGGGCUCACAGCGGCCUCUUCCUGGGCCAGGGGGCCACCACUGUGACUCUCACAGUGACUGAGCCCCAUGGCUCUCAGGCUGCCUGACCAAAGUACACUGCUGUGGGGGUCAGGCCCCUGAACGGCCAGGAACCCCCAAUCCCAGCCACUCUGUAGAAGCAGGGCUGGAGGCCCCCUCAGGGCACUCUGCAUACAGCUAUUGAAAAACAAAAAAGGACAAGAAAAAGACCCCUUGUGUUAUUUACUGAUUUCCUCACCGUGGCCAAUUUCAAGCCGCCAACAUGAAAUUACUGAACACAGCCCUGGGUAGAGGGGCACCAUCAGCUUCCACACCCCUGCACAUCCCAAAGUAAAGACAGGCUAACCCUAGAGAAGAGCUGGGUGACUUCAGGCAAGUGACUCAACCUCUCUGAACCUCAGGCUUCUCAUCUAUAAAAUGGGGACAACAAUUACAUCUACUUCAAGGCAAUAUCAUGAAAUGAAAUUUCGGAAUCUAGUAGGGCUCUGUACUGGGCACUGGGGAAUGACAGUGGGGACAAAACGGAGGAGAGCUCCUGCCUUCCUAGACCUCCUUGCAGUAGAACCCAGGCAGAGGCUAGAAGCCAGCACUCAUCGUGGUCAGAAACAUUGUUGUCACCGUCCCUUCCCUUCUCUGGGCUGACCUUGGAACGUGGGAGCAGAAGCUGUCCAGGAUGCCAGAUGCCACCCACUCCAGCCUUGGGAGGUGCUCAGUCCAUUCCUCCUUCUGAUCUACAAGAACAGAAGAACAAAGUCUCUUUUCAUUGCAGCUUCUUUUCUCAGCCCUAAAAUAGCUUGGGUUUGCUAUCAGCAACCCUCCUUUCCAACUUUCUCAUUCAGAAGCAAAAGCUUUUUAAACCUGA